rnacentral:rRNA from 1 species
CACGUAGGGGGGCAAGCGUUGUCCGGAUUCAUUGGGCGUAAAGAGCUCGUAGGCGGUUCGAUAAGUCGGGUGUGAAACCUCCAGGCUCAACCUAGAGACGCCACCCGAUACUGUCGUGACUAGAGUCCAGUAGGGGAGCGUGGAAUUCCUGGUGUAGCGGUGAAAUGCGCAGAUAUCAGGAGGAACACCAGCGGCGAAGGCGGCGCUCUGGGCUGGAACUGACGCUGAGGAGCGAAAGCGUGGGGGAGCGAACGG